CCACAUCAUGUCAAAACACCAGUUCUCGUAUGAUCACUGAAGUUAAACAAUGUUGAGCCUGGUCAGUAUCUGGAUGUGUGACCAUUUGCGAAUACCAUGUGCUA